rnacentral:rRNA from 1 species
GCAUAACGCGAAGAACCUUACCAGGCCUUGACAUGCAGAGAACUUUCCAGAGAUGGAUUGGUGCCUUCGGGAACUCUGACACAGGUGCUGCGUGGCUGUCGUCAGCUCGUGUCGUGAGAUGUUGGGUUAAGUCCCGUAACGAGCGCAACCCUUGUCCUUAGUUACCAGCACGUUAUGGUGGGCACUCUAAGGAGACUGCCGGUGACAAACCGGAGGAAGGUGGGGAUGACGUCAAGUCAUCAUGGCCCUUACGGCCUGGGCUACACACGUGCUACAAUGGUCGGUACAGAGGGUUGCCAAGCCGCGAGGUGGAGCUAAUCUCACAAAACCGAUCGUAGUCCGGAUCGCAGUCUGCAACUCGACUGCGUGAAGUCGGAAUCGCUAGUAAUCGCGAAUCAGAAUGUCGCGGUGAAUACGUUCCCGGGUCUUGUACACACCG